GAUGAACGCUGGCGGCGUGCCUAAUACAUGCAAGUCGAGCGAACAGAUAAGGAGCUUGCUCCUUUGACGUUAGCGGCGGACGGGUGAGUAACACGUGGGUAACCUACCUAUAAGACUGGAAUAACUCCGGGAAACCGGGGCUAAUGCCGGAUAACAUGUUGAACCGCAUGGUUCUACAGUGAAAGGCGGCUUUGCUGUCACUUAUAGAUGGACCCGCGCCGUAUUAGCUAGUUGGUGAGGUAACGGCUCACCAAGGCAACGAUACGUAGCCGACCUGAGAGGGUGAUCGGCCACACUGGAACUGAGACACGGUCCAGACUCCUACGGGAGGCAGCAGUAGGGAAUCUUCCGCAAUGGGCGAAAGCCUGACGGAGCAACGCCGCGUGAGUGAUGAAGGUCUUCGGAUCGUAAAACUCUGUUAUUAGGGAAGAACAAAUGCGUAAGUAACUGUGCGCGUCUUGAUGGUACCUAAUCAGAAAGCCACGGCUAACUACGUG
rnacentral:rRNA from 1 species